AUGAUAAACUCCUGGCUCCCAGCACCAACUCAUAACUACUUAGUUUUUUUAUUUGUUUUUAUUUUAUUUUUAUUUUGUUUAUUUUAUUUAUUUAUUUUUUUUUUGAGAUGGAGUCUCGCUCUGUCGCCCAGGCUGGAGUGCAGUGGCUCGAUCUCGGUUCACUGCAACCUCUGCCUCCCAGGAGAAUCACUUGAACCCAGGAGGCGGAGGUUGCAGUGAGCCAAGAUCGCGCCACUGCACUCCAGCCUGGGCGAAAGAGAGAGACUCUGUCUCAAAAUAAUAAUAAUAACAACAAUAAUAAAAUAAAAAUAAAAGUCCACAUACUGUAUACAUGUAUCUAUAACUAUUUAUUCAGACCCAGGAUAUUUUUCCUUUGUCCUAUCAGAGCCUCAUGAACUAUCACUCAUCUGGGGAAACUCUGGGGAGGAAAAUUAAUUAUAGUACUGGCAGCACUGGAAUGGUCAGGUGACAGAGAAGCCAUGUGUGCCAUGUGUCAGACAUACCCUCUUACCAUCUCAGAGGGACUCAAGAACUUUCUGAAUCAGGAGGCAUAUUUGUAAAAAUUUUCUAAAAUUCCAGAACAUUUAUAAUAUUUGUGCUUGCUAAUUUUAUUAUCCUAUCUCUUUCCCCAUAGCUGAACAGUAAAACUUUUAAAUUAAAAAAAAAAAAAAAACCUACAUGAUUACAUUCAAGGGUAGCAAGGAGGGUGGAAGUUAGAAAGACUGGGAGACUCUAGCUCCUUCACAGUGCCCUCCUCUGUCACCCCAUGGAUGGUGUGUGCCUCCCUCCCGGGGGGAAAAGCAGGCUAAGCCCCGGGGGCUUGAUACGCAGAGGAAAAGAAAACAUCCAGAGUAAGACUCUGAGGCAAAACCGGGAGGAGGGGCUGAGCAGUAGAGAGGCUUCUCCUUUCAGAGAAGCAAUUUGGGGAUCUUAACUCUUGGUUUCUUAUCUUUAAUAUGGAAAUAUUAGUAUAUUUCUCAUAGGGCUAUUGUGAUGAUUACAUAAGAUAGUCCAUGUAAAAUGCUUGACAUACUUCCUAAAACACAGUAAAUGCUCCAAACAUUACCACUAUUGGCCCUCGAGUCACUGGAUGGUGACACGGACAUAGUCCAGAGAAAUGAAAUCAAGGCUGGGUGUGGUGGCUCACACCUGUAAUCCCAGCACUUUGGGAGGCCGAGGUGGGUGGAUCAUUUGAGGCCAGGAGUUCAAGACCAGCUUGGCCAACAUGGUGAAACCUCCAUCUCUACUAAAAAUACAAAUAUUAUCGGGAUGUGGUGGCUGCAUGCCUAUAAUCCCAGCUACUUGGGAGGCUGAGGUAUGAGAAUUGCUUGAACCCAGGAGGCAGAGUUUGCAGUGAGCCGAGAUGGUGCCAGUGCACUCCAGCCUGCGUGACAGAGUGAUACUGUGCCUCACAAAAUUAAUAAAUAAAUUAAAAUUAAAAUUAAAUCCGGCCACAGGUUAAGAGAGAACUAUAGAUUGCCUCCAGGUCCAAAAUGGUGAAUCGAGGCUGGGCGCGGUGGCUCACACUUGUAAUCUCAGCACUGUGGGAGGCUGAGUUGGGUGGAUCACUUGAGGUCAGGAGUUUGAGAUCAGCCAGGGCAUGGUGGCAUGUGCUUGUAAUUUCUGCUACUCGGAAGGCUGAGGCAUGAGAAUUGCUAGAACCCAGGAGGCAGAGGUUUCAGUGAGCCGAGAUUGCACCACUGCACUCUAGCCUGAGUGACAGUGAGACUGUCCCAAAAAAAAACACAAAAGUGGUGAAUCAUCUUCUUAUCUCCAUUUUACAGAUGGGGAAACUGAGGUUACAGAGAGGAAGUAACAUUUCCAAAGUCUCUGGCUAAUGAGUAGUGGACUGAGAUUCAAUCCUGGACCGCUUUACCUUCUAAGACCAUUUCCUUGUUCUUCUAUGCAGCGUCACCUCCUGAUGUAAAUGUUAACAUAAAUGAAACCUAAUUUCGAAGAUGUAUUUUUGGAGCUGGAACUAACAAAACAUUCCAAAAUCAAUUAACAGCGUAUUUUUAUACUUUUCCUCUAUUUUUACAUAUAAGGAGGAAGAGGUUGUGUGAGCAAUCAUAAAUACGUAUUGAAUCUUUGGAUCAGCUACCAUCCUUCACCUUUAAGGUCUUAUUUUCAAUGAAUAAAGAACAGAGACUUAGCCUGGCAAUAAGCGUGCCUGAAAAAUGCUGCUUGGGACAGGAAGUGUUUGAGGAAUGAAUUAAAUCGUGAUUCGCUGUGUCACGGUCUGUACUGAAGAGAAACAGAAAGGAACAUGUGCUUGUGAGAGAAACAGGGCCAGGGUGUGACUUUUCCAAAUGCUUUAAGAGCUGUGGUUUCACGUAAGUGUUACUUGCAAGCUGCCCACAAAUCCUGCCGCCUGGGCUUCCUGCGCCGGGUCUCCCUGGAAAGCCUGAACGAGCUUUGGCACUGAACAUGAUCUUGUCCAGGGCCACGAAUUUAACACAAUUAAAUCUCUCCUUCUUGACUGAGAGGCCGGAAACCUAAAGCUGCAGAAAGGCGGGAAGGACAGAGAAGUAUGAAGGCGAGAGCCCACCACUGGCUCACGGUGGAGGAGUAAAUUUCACCUCCACUCCCGCCUUCCAAGAGCCAGCAUCUGGCCAGAUGUUUAGUUCCACUCGUUGUCUUUCCAGACGAGGACAAAGUGCAUGCCAUUAUCUGGUUUCUUCAAAGUCUCUAAGAGUCUCUGCCAGACGCUUGGGUUCAUAUUUUGAAGCAGUAAAAAAGAAAGAAAGAAAGAAAAGCAGAGAGAGAGAGAGGUGACUAAUUCUGUGGAGAAUGUUUGCCCUUAACAUUCUUCUCUAAAUAUUUGGGUUACUAAAAGGAUCUAACGAUAUCUUAUUUUAUAAAGAAGCAGAAAAACAUAGUGACAGCUGGGCCCAGUGGCUCAUGCCUGUAAUCUCAGCACUUUGGGAGGCUGAGGUAGGAGGAUUGCUUGAGGUCAGGAGUUCAAGACCAGUCAGGACAACAUAGGGAGACUCCAUCUUUACAAAAAAAUAAAAAAUUAGCUGGGCAUGGUUAAUCCUGGUUAGCACACCUGUAGUCCCAGCUACUUGGGAGGCUGAAGUGGGAGGAUGACUUGAGUCUGGGAGGUCGAGGCUGCAGUGAGCCCACCACUGCACUCCAGCUUGGGCAACAGAGCGAGACUUUGUCUUAAACAACAAACAAACAAACAGACAAACAAAACAGUGACUCUGAAAUCAGAACUAGAUUCCUAACCAGCUCUCUGAAUUACUGGCUGUGAGCUUUAACCAAGCCAUUUAUGUGAAGAUGCAGUAUUUUUAUCUGUGAAACGGGAAUACUAAUACAAUACAAAGUACCUCAUGCAGCUUAAUAAAGAAGAACUAUUUUUAUUAUUAUAACUCUGUGAUGAAACUAUGUCCUUGUUCUGUUAAGCCCAUUCACAGUAAAGUUUCUUUUGAGAUCAUAAGCUCAGGGACCCAUCUAUGAGGAGGGCUGGUGUCAUCCAUGAAGGGCUGGAUAUUUUUGAUGUUGAUCAUUCAGGGAAGGCAUGUACCCUGGUCAGAAACUGAAGUGGGCCAUUAACUACCUCGGCCGGUGGUGGCUCACGCCUGUAAUCCCAGCACUUUGGGAGGCGAGGCAGUGAGGAUCACGAGGUCAGGAGAUCCAGAGACCAUCCUGGCUGGUGAAACCCGUCUCUACUAAAAAUACAAAAGCGGUACGCUGAUGUCACCUUUCUUAA
rnacentral:lncRNA from 1 species